rnacentral:tRNA from 1 species
GACCGCGUAGCUCAAUUGGCAGAGCAUUGGGCUAGUAUUCCAAAGGUUGUAGGUUCGAAUCCCACCGUGGUCA